AAAGUGAUCCUUUGUUCUUUUCUUCAUCAAUAUCAGUUUUAUCAAAUUCCUUUAAAAAUAAAAUAAGAAAAUCAGUAGCUUACAGAGUUGCAUCAGGAAUCGGAAAUAGUCCAACUUUUUGAUUCCGGCAGAACUAAAAACCGACAAGGAUCGGAAGGGAUGAGAGGCGGAGGAGGAAGAGGAAGGAGCCAGGGGGCGGGUAAUUACACGAACCCAUGUUUAACGAUGCAUCAACCAUGGGCUUCCCUCUUGGUUUACGGCAUCAAACGCAUUGAAGGAAGGUCUUGGCCUUCUCCUAUUCGAGGCCGUCUAUGGAUUCAUGCUGCGGGUAAAGUUCCCGAGGAAGCUACAAUAAAAGCGAUGGAGGAUUUCUAUAGAGAAAUUUAUGCGCUGAAUGGCAUUACUGAUAUUAAAUUUCCAGAACAUUAUCCCGUUUCGAGACUUUUAGGGUGUGUUGAAGUAGUUGGCUGUGUUAGAUGUGAAGAACUAGUUAGCUGGGAGGCAGUACCUGAAUCGGUAAGAUUAGAAGGACUGACGAACUUUUGCUGGCUCUGCGAACAGCCACAGAAAUUGCUGGUUCCAUUUGAGAUGAGGGGCAAUCAAGGUGUUUAUAAUUUGGAAAAGAAGAUUCUUGAGGCUGCAGUUAGAGGUCUCACUCCAGUUAAAGGUCCAAUGACAGUAAAGUUCCCCCUUCCAGAUCCCCGUGAUCCUUUUUCCUUAAAACCUGGGUCUGUUUCUAUGCUAUCACCCAAUAAAGCAUCUGAAGUGGAGCAAUCAUCUAGUCUCGCUGCAGCUAUUGCUAGUGCACGUGCAGCGGCUACUCAAUUCAAUAAGAAAGAUGAAAAUCUUCUAUCGAAAACUGUCCAGAAUAGCAAUUCUUAUCCUGCGAGGAGUGAAGAAGUAGAAAGCAAACCUUUGGAAGAGCAUAAGUUGCCCGAGAAUAAUGCUUGUGAAGGUUCUAAUGAUAAAUUUCAAGGUUCAGAUGAGGCAGAGCAAAGCAACCACAUCGUGUACAAAGAAAGCAGUAGCCAUAGUCGAACUCGUGCAGAUAUGAAACAGUUUCCUGAAGCUUCAUCGAAGGUUCAUCUUCUCAAAGCAAUUUAGUGUUUUUGGUUUGAACCCCAGCAGUUUGCUAAUUAUUCAUAUGCAAUGUUGGUGCAAAUUCCAUUUGCAACCUAGUAUUUGAUUACGAAUAGAAAGAUCAGGUACUGGAUCUUGAUCCUUUGCUACUUGUUCAAGUUCGUAUGAUGGGUUCUGACAUGAUAUAUUUCCGCUUCUUUUUUAAUUUCCCACUGUGGGCUCAAUGGCAGGUCUUGCAUCAAUGAUCAGUCUAUGUCAAAAGAUUUUUGCUGCGGCAGUACGGGGGUUGAAACUAUCUUAAAGUUAUGUUUGGUUCAUCUCGGGAUUGCAUUUCGGUUAUCAUACUCGAUAUCUAGAAGAAAGUUAGUCUGCAAAUUAAUGAAGACCAAAAUAUUAUCCGGAUGAAGUUGAAAUUGUCGAUAAACAAUAUAAUUAUUCCUAUUGACAGGGAACCUGUAUUUAUGGAGUUUGGUUCAUAUGUUGGGAGUCAAACAGAAGCUGUUUCGAGGUUAAACACGAGCUGUUUGACUUCCAACAGCUAACUUAAGUACUUGGCAAAUUAAUAUAACGAGCUUGUGAUUUUUUCA